GAGGUUCUUACCUCGGGGACCAUCCCCUCCACUUGACCAGGUACUCGACUCUUCCCUGUGGAAGACAAACGCGUUACUCCCUUCUUGAAGGAGGGCGAGGAGGAGCGCGCGCGGAGGAGAUGUCACCUUGCUCCCGUUGUCUCCUCCGUUCCGCCUCCUCCUCCGGUGCAGAAACUCGAACCCUCCGCCUCCCGACGUUCCCCGCUGCUCCCCUUUUGACGGAGUCGCUCAGGAAAGCGAGUUGGAGCUGCAGCCAGAAAGCACUUCAUGCAAAUAACCGUCGGUGUGACGUCUUACGAAGAGGGAGGUCGCGGGGGCGGGGCUAGGUCUUGUGCUGCUUUCAAGGCUGUCGGAGAAAACGGAAUCACGACUUUCAAAAGGAUCUCCAGCCGCUGCACUUAGAUUCAGAGACCAACUCCGAUGAAAAUUGCUUUUUGCUGUUGUUGUUUUAAAAUGUUCUUGUAGCAUUUUUUUCUGGUGAUGGAGGAGAAUUAAUAAAGAUAGUUAAUCUCAAA